AAAGCGUGCGCAGGCGGUUAUGUAAGACAGAUGUGAAAUCUCCGGGCUCAACCUGGGAACUGCAUUUGUGACUGCAUGGCUAGAGUACGGUAGAGGGGGAUGGAAUUCCGCGUGUAGCAGUGAAAUGCGUAGAUAUGCGGAGGAACACCGAUGGCGAAGGCAAUCCCCUGGACCUGUACUGACGCUCAUGCACGAAAGCGUGGGGAGCAAACAGGAUUAGAUACCCCAGU
rnacentral:rRNA from 1 species